AUUGAACGCUGGCGGCAGGCCUAACACAUGCAAGUCGAGCGGAUGAAGGGAGCUUGCUCCUGGAUUCAGCGGCGGACGGGUGAGUAAUGCCUAGGAAUCUGCCUGGUAGUGGGGGAUAACGUCCGGAAACGGGCGCUAAUACCGCAUACGUCCUGAGGGAGAAAGUGGGGGAUCUUCGGACCUCACGCUAUCAGAUGAGCCUAGGUCGGAUUAGCUAGUUGGUGGGGUAAAGGCCUACAAAGGCGACGAUCCGUAACUGGUCUGAGAGGAUGAUCAGUCACACUGGAACUGAGGCACGGUCCAGACUCCUACGGGAGGCAGCAGUGGGGAAUAUUGGACAAUGGGCGAAAGCCUGAUCCAGCCAUGCCGCGUGUGUGAAGAAGGUCUUCGGAUUGUAAAGCACUUUAAGUUGGGAGGAAGGGCAGUAAGUUAAUACCUUGCUGUUUUGACGUUACCAACAGAAUAAGCACCGGCUAACUUCGUG
rnacentral:rRNA from 1 species